GGUCUCGUACCUGUGGUAGUGGGUGAUAUCCGCCAUGUUUUUGCGGUUUGAAGCGGACGCGAGCAAAACAAUGGAUUAUUUACCAAGAGAUAUUAAUGUUUGAGGUCAUUUAGACAACAUUCUGGUAAGCAUCGAUACACAUUUACAUUUAGUAUUUUACUUAGCAGACGCUUAUAAAGGAACUUGCUAAAGUUAACUUCACGUGACUUCCGCGAACACGGCUUUCUUGGCUUGCCUGAAAACUUUCGGUAUGCCACUACAGCUAAUAAAUGGACGAAAUUGUUUUCAUCUUUGAUCCAAGCAUUGUUAUGUGGAUCUCGAGUGUUUACUCUGCACUAAACUUUGACGAGCAACACUCCAAUCUGCAAACAAAGAUCUGAGGAAGAGGAUGAUGGCGGUCCUGCAUUCACGAGGAUAAAGAGCAGUAAUCAAGAGUGUUAUCGCUGAAGAAAUGGCAGAUUUUAAUUCUCAGACACCGAACAGUGCAAUAACACCAUGGACAUCAUCUUCUCUGACUGAACUAGCAAGGAGCUGUUGGAGCCAAUGAGAAAGCUGGUGGAAUGUAAACCUGAGUAAAUGCCACUACUUUAAUGAUUAUUUCUAAGUUUACUGAGCGAUGUAAACUGCUGUCAUCCACAUCACAUCAUUGCUCUGACCGAUGUUACCUGAAGAAUCCUUUCAGCGUGGCAGAUAUUCACAAGCGUCUGGAGCCAACUUAAAAUGUUUGUGCAAAGUUGCACCAUAUCACUGAAAACGGCACGCAUCAACGAGAUUUCAGAGACUCUGCGUGACAUUUUAAAUGUUUAUGAUCUUCAGGGUGUGCAUGAUGUCAGCAUGAAAUGUAGCCCUCCGUGCUCUUCAGUGUACCUGUGUGAGGAGGACCCGCAAUUCUUCAGGACUUGAAAUGAAGCGUUGGGAGAGCCAGACAUAACUGAUUUUGUCAUUGUGGUCAACGAAAGCACAAGUCCAUCAAGCACUGCAGUUGUGAUAGAAGAUGAUCUUCAGUUUUAUAAUAAAAGACUAGUCUUCAAAAAAAUAUUCAAUUAUACAGCUAAAGGUCUAUUUAAUUAAUUUAUUUUUUAAGCUGUUGUUGUAUAAUUUUUCAAAAUGUGGUAAAUAUUUACAAUAAUUGUAUAACAACUGCUGUUAUUUGAUGUAAUAUAGUUUUGUAAUUGUUUUGUAAAUAAAAUCUUUU